UGGGGAAUCUUGGACAAUGGGCGCAAGCCUGAUCCAGCCAUGCCGCGUGGAUGAUGAAGGCCCUAGGGUUGUAAAAUCCUUUCGUUGGGGACGAUAAUGACGGUACCCAAAGAAGAAGCUCCGGCUAACUUCGUGCCAGCAGCCGCGGUAAUACGAAGGGGGCUAGCGUUGUUCGGAUUUACCGGGCGUAAAGCGCGUGUAGGCGGGUCGUUAAGUUGGGGGUGAAAUCCCGAGGCUCAACCUCGGAACUGCCUUCAAAACUGGCGACCUGGACUCAAGUAGAGGCAAGUGGAAUUGCGAGUGUAGAGGUGAAAUUCGUAGAUAUUCGCAGGAACACCAGUGGCGAAGGCGGCUCACUGGACCAUUACUGACGCUGAGGUGCGAAAGCGUGGGGAGCAAACAGGAUUAGAUACCCGUGUAGUCCCUGAGCGGGCUGGCAAGGCGCAU
rnacentral:rRNA from 1 species